GUGAUUUAAAUUUUCAGUUUUCUUAUGUAAUUAACAUGGUAUUAAUCUAUUAUAGAUCCAUUUAAGUAUAGACUAUUCUAAGAUUAGUAUUGCAACUUGUUACUUGUGCAAAGUCAUUGUAACGCUCUCAACGCAUAAACAACUUUGACUACCCGUUAUAGUCCUAUACACACGGCCAAAGAAAUGAAUUUACUAAACUCCAAAAAAAAAAAAAAAUUGGGUAUUUAUUAUUAUUUGAUUACACGAAUCUGAUUUGACUUCACAACAUUAGUCAAACCUCUUCUUUCUCUCCAAAUCCACCAAUCACACUUACACACACUUCUUUGAUUAAUUAUAUUCUAUCUUUCCUUUUAUUAUUCCAUCAACUUAUUAUUAUUAUACCACUGGCCAUUUCUCUUUUAUUUCUCCCUCAAUUUUUGUUCCUUUC
rnacentral:lncRNA from 1 species